GUUACUACAUCUUAAACAAUCCAAGCCAUUUGCACUAUGAAGGCUGCCAAGACUUUUACAAAUAAAGGUUUGCUGGGACAUGAAGGUGAGCAUGGUUGACUGGAAGGACUUGAUGGGAUUGAUAACAGCAGUGAUGUAUAAUCGAGAAGUUGCAGUCUCAGGGGGAAGUAGUAAGAGGAGGAGGAAGACAGGAAGGGAAAGAAAGUAACAAAAGCAAGGAUUAUAGCCCUUCCACCUCUGCUGGGCAGUGACAAGGAACCAGUAGCCUCGAGAAGCAGAUUCUCAACCAGCAGACAAAAAGGAAGAGUGAGGGAUGAAAUGCUAGACAUUUUGACUAAAGCCAAUGAACAGCUUGGUAAUCAGAGAGAGAAGGAAGAGAUUGGCAGCACAGUCCCUGGACCAUGACUAGUGGCUGAGGGAGGAAGACAGAGCACAGCAGAAGGAGCUUUUUGAGAAGUUGCUCACUCUCCUCACCACCAGGCUUCAGGAUCUAACUCCACAUACCGAGUCCCCUCCACAUUACCAUGUCCUGUAGCCUGCGCAGCCUUUGGACAAUCCUGGGUUUGACUGCUCAAUGGCUUAAGUAACAAACGGAAGGAACCAAAAACCUAUCGAGAAAAGUGAUAAGGGGAGACCUCGGAGCCCAGCAAGGGAAGGCAGAUUUUAACAAGUAAGCAGAGUUUGAUCCAAUGGAAGUACACCAGGGACAAUUCAAGAGUCGGAUCAAAAUAUACUGGCAUUACUAGUGCAACUUUAUCACCCAGUCUUUACUUUGGCUUUAUCUGUACAGUCUGUGCAUUGAUUUAACAGCCCCCUCAAGUGGGGACACUCAAAUCAGUUGAAGAAUAUCCAUGCACAAAGCUGUACUACAGCUUUGUCUAGACUAGGAUUUAACAAGUGUGAUCCAGUUGCUAGCUCAGUUUAACUAACUCAUCUAAAACUCAAAACUCUAGCAAAGACAAAGCAUUUGUUAUUUAAUAUGUGAUAACCUGGCUGAAUUAGAGACCAGGCUUCCCUCCUAGGUUUAGUUAGCAUGAUGUCACUUUGUAUUUAUACAAGGCUUGGUUCCACAAAAAGAGACUGGGAUUUGUUUGGGGUUUUUUGGUAAACUAACUGGCAUACAAACACAAAUACUGCUCAGUCUAGCCAUAUUGUGGCUGGUUUCCCAACUCCUCCCCCCAUCCUGCCACACACUCCUGUGCUUUAUUAAUGUGUAGCAUUAAUACCAGAGAGACAUACAGUGGCUUCCAGGUAAUGGGAGGAAAAACUUCUGGUGUGUGGCUAAAUAAAAUUAGUGGCACAGCAGAUGUAUAAGUAGGAGGAGACUGCUGAGAAAUUCUUAUAUUUGGACCAGACUGAGAACAUACAUUAGCACCCUACUCCUUGAAAAUGUCUCCAUCCACUGUGGUUCUUGGAAAAGCUUCAGCCACUGGAUGCACAAGAAAUUUACAGUUCCCAAGAUCGCACUGUAACGGUCAUAACUCUCACCCUCACCUUUGGCUCAACCCUAGAAGGAGAUAAUGAGGCAAAAAGUGUCGUGUUUCCAGAGCCUGGCUCGGACCACCACCAACAGUAACUUGCUAAUGGAACCCUGGAGAAGCGAGACGGUGUUGUUAUAGGGCAGCAGGAAGGCUCUCUUUUUCCUCUAUCAUGGAUCAUUUCCCUGGUAGGUGCCAAGAGCUCCCUUAUAAACUAACUUCAAGGAAGGAGAGGAUUUGCUAAUCAAAUUGCAUAAAGACUCAUUAAAAUAAUGAUCAACUAUUAUUACUCUGUGUCAGUGUGAGUAAUUGACAGCCAUCAGAUAACCACAUGCCUUGUUUAACUCCAACUGAAAAUGGUUUUAUAUAUCCGUUCCUAAAGGGAGAGGGAGGGGAGGUGAACCAGA